CCUACGGGGCGCAGCAGUGAGGAAUAUUGGUCAAUGGGCGGAAGCCUGAACCAGCCAAGUCGCGUGAGGGAAUAAGGUCCUACGGGUUGUAAACCUCUUUUGCCGGGGAGCAAUGGCCGGGACGCGUCCCCGCCCGGAGAGUACCCGGAGAAAAAGCAUCGGCUAACUCCGUGCCAGCAGCCGCGGUAAUACGGAGGAUGCGAGCGUUAUCCGGAUUUAUUGGGUUUAAAGGGUGCGUAGGCGGGCUUUUAAGUCAGCGGUAAAAAUUCCGGGCUCAACCCCGUCCGGCCGUUGAAACUGGGGGG
rnacentral:rRNA from 1 species